GAACAGAGGACCAAAUGAAUUGUCACCGAGCUUUGGUGUCAAGAGGAAUGGCCAAGAACCUGAGAAAAUCGAUUUUAAUUCUAUGGCUUCAACUAGGCUGGGUGAGUGGCCAAGAGGAGACAAGGAGCGUUCAGCAGCAGGUGAAACAGGGCCCUCCAUCUCUCAUAGUCCAGGAAGGAGAUUUCUCUACUCUGAACUGCACUUAUGAGAAUAGUGCAUUUGACUACUUUGUGUGGUACCGGCAAUACCCUGGUCAAGGGCCCGCAUUAUUGCUAGCCGUGUUCUCGAGAACGCCUACAAAGGAAGAUGGAAGAUUCACAGUUUCCCUCAGUCAAAGCGCCAAAAAAUUUUCAUUGUACAUCAAUGCUUCCCAGCCCAGAGACUCAGCCACCUACUUCUGUGCCGCAAGGACACAGUGAUCCCCAGGCACCUGCUGCCUGCACCCAAACCUGAAGCCGAAGCUCCAGCCAAACCCCACGGUGUAGAUGCAGCUUUCACACAC